UUUCAGUCGUUUCUUUGAAUUGCAACCUGCAGACUCGCUGUCUCUGACUCGCUGUUAUACUGUUAUGAAAAAUGUAUCACAUUAGAAAAUAGCAGGAUCGAUUUCCGUCAAAUCUAGAUGGAUUGACCUCAUUUCCGAGAAUAAUUUUAAACAAACCGAGGAUUUUCUUACACAUUUUGACACUCAGGCGCUGUGGUGAGCAUGGUUUAGACUUGGAACAGAGUUUACAGUUCGAGACCAUGGGCAAAGAGGCGUGGGUUUCUUUUUCGCUGUAACAACGAUAUUAAAGGAAGACAUCGCAUAACACCCUGGUAUGCCACUUCUGUAAAAGGAACCAUACCACAAGUUGUUGUUUUUAAGAGGGAUGCCCGUGGCUCAAAUUAACGAAGAUUUUCCUGGAGUUGUGGAAGAAGCUCAGGAAUAUGGGCGCUAAUCACUCCCACAAAACUCCAGUAUUUGAUGAAAAUGAAGAGGUUACCUUUGAUCACUUUCAAAUACUCAGAGCCAUUGGAAAAGGGAGUUUUGGGAAGGUAUGCAUUGUGCAGAAGAGAGACACC